rnacentral:rRNA from 1 species
UUGUUGCGAUGGUUGUCGUCAAGCUCGUAGCCGUGAGGGGUCGAGGUUAAGGUAGCCAUGACGAGCGCAACGCCUUUCUCCAGUUGGCAUCAGGUGAUAGCUCGGCAAUCUGAGAGACACUUGCCGCCGUAAGGUGUGAGGAAGGGUGGGGAUGACGUCAAAUCAGGCACGGCCCUUACAGUCCGGGGCUACACACGUGUUACAAUGGGUGGUACAGAGAGUUGGUCGUUGCAAAUGCAAAAAAAAUCAUGAAAGCCAUCCUCAGUUCGGAUUGGGGUCUGCAACCCGACCCCAUGAAGCUGGAUUCGCUAGUAAUCGCUGCAUCAGCCAUGGCGCGGUGAAUACGUUCCCGGGCCUUGUACACACCUGCCCGUCAAGCCAUGAAAGCCGGGGGCGCCUGAAGUCCGUGACCGCGAGGGUCGGCCUAGGGUGAAACCGGUGAUUC